AGCAGACCAUUACACUCUAGUCUGCUAGGGUUAAUCAUUUUGAUUCAUGCUAUUUUAGGUACCUUUUCAUUCUCUUUAUAAAUGUGUAUUUGAAUGGCUCUAUAUAUUAUAGUUACACUUCGUGUGUGAAUAUGUUACCCAUAUUUCACAUCACUGCAUUUUAUUCUCUUAAUAAUGUUUUUACAGCUGUUAUCUUGUUUUCCAAAGAUAAAUGUAUUUUGGAAUAGAAAUCUAUCUAGUUGAACUGUUUUGACUUCUAGAGGAGUUAAUAACUUUUUAAAGCAAGUAUACAGGAAAAUAAAAGACAUUAUUUUUUUCUAAUAAAAGCAAUUAUGAGUUCAGGAAGAAAAUACUAAUCUAGUUUUUGUAUGUCAGCUCAUCUCUAUAGAAGUAAAAGCCUAUUCUAGUCAGUAUUACUUUCAAUAAUGACUUUGAUGUGUUAGAAUUUAGACAAGAAUUUUAAGUCAAGCCUCACUUCCAAGUCAAAUGUAGUAUCUAUCUUCAAAUUUAAUAUGCCAUGAAACUGUUGUCCUGUCUUUGAAAAAAAUUAAAAUCAUUUUGUGUGCUCGAUAAAAGUUCAAGAAUUCAACUGUCCAAAUUCUGUUAACAUCAUUGAUAGUCGUGCCCAAA
rnacentral:lncRNA from 1 species